rnacentral:sRNA from 1 species
AAAAAAAUCCCGCCAAAACUUUUUUUCGUAACAAAUUUUUUCUCAGCAAUAAAAAAUGCUUUUAAAAAUCCUUGUAAAUUUUUUUUCGUGGGAAAUAGAUUUACAAAGGAUUUUAAUAGAGUUUUAAGAUAUUUACAAUGGAUUUUAAAAGGGUUUUGAAAGAUUUACAAAGGUUUUUUAAAGAUUUUUAAAGGGUUUAAAAUUGUUUUAAAAUAUUUACAAGGGAUUUUAAAGGGCUUUAAAAGAUUUACAAAUAUUUUUAAAGGGUUUAAAGUAUUUUAAAAGAUUUACAAAAGAUUUUACAAG